GUUUUAUGUACCAUUACCCAACGGGAGUUAGAGGCUGUUUUAUGUACCAUUACCCAACUGGAGUUAGAGGCUGUAACAUGUACCAUUACCCAGCGGGAGUUAGAGGCUGUAACAUGUACCAUUACCCGGCAGGAGUUAGAGGCUGUAACAUGUACCAUUACCCAGCUAGAAUUAGAGGCUGUACCAUUACCCAGCUGGAGUUAGAGGCUGUAACAUGUACCAUUACCCAGCUAGAAUUAGAGGAUGUACCAUUACCCAGCUAGAAUUAGAGGAUGUACCAUUACCCAGCUAGAAUUAGAGGCUGUAACAUGUAUCAGUAACCAGC
ensembl:lncRNA